UACGUAGGGCGCAAGCGUUGUCCGGAAUUAUUGGGCGUAAAGAGCUCGUAGGCGGCCUGUUGCGUCCGCUGUGAAAUCCCGGGGCUCAACCCCGGGCCUGCAGUGGAUACGGGCUGGCUAGAGGCAGGCAGGGGAGAACGGAAUUCCUGGUGUAGCGGUGGAAUGCGCAGAUAUCAGGAGGAACACCGGUGGCGAAGGCGGGUCUCUGGGUAGUAACUGACGCUGAGGAACGAAAGCGUGGGUAGCGAACAGG
rnacentral:rRNA from 1 species